UACGUAGGGGGCUAGCGUUGUCCGGAAUCAUUGGGCGUAAAGAGCGUGUAGGCGGUCCGGUAAGUCCGCUGUGAAAGUCGGGGGCUCAACCCUCGAAUGCCGGUGGAUACUGGCGGGCUAGAGGGCGGAAGAGGCGAGUGGAAUUCCUGGUGUAGCGGUGAAAUGCGCAGAUAUCAGGAGGAACACCUAUUGCGAAGGCAGCUCGCUGGGACGUUACUGACGCUGAGACGCGAAAGCGUGGGGAGCAAACAGG
rnacentral:rRNA from 1 species